GAUGAACGCUGGCGGCGUGCCUAAUACAUGCAAGUCGAGCGAACAGACGAGGAGCUUGCUCCUCUGACGUUAGCGGCGGACGGGUGAGUAACACGUGGAUAACCUACCUAUAAGACUGGGAUAACUUCGGGAAACCGGAGCUAAUACCGUAUAAUAUAUUGAACCGCAUGGUUCAAUAGUGAAAGACGGUUUUGCUGUCACUUAUAGAUGGAUCCGCGCCGCAUUAGCUAGUUGGUAAGGUAACGGCUUACCAAGGCGACGAUGCGUAGCCGACCUGAGAGGGUGAUCGGCCACACGGGAACUGAGACACGGUCCAGACUCCUACGGGAGGCAGCAGUAGGGAAUCUUCCGCAAUGGGCGAAAGCCUGACGGAGCAACGCCGCGUGAGUGAUGAAGGUCUUCGGAUCGUAAAACUCUGUUAUUAGGGAAGAACAAAUGUGUAAGUAACUAUGCACGUCUUGACGGUACCUAAUCAGAAAGCCACGGCUAACUACGUG
rnacentral:rRNA from 1 species